AAAUUGAAGAGUUUGAUCAUGGCUCAGAUUGAACGCUGGCGGCAGGCCUAACACAUGCAAGUCGAACGGUAACAGGAAGCAGCUUGCUGCUUCGCUGACGAGUGGCGGACGGGUGAGUAAUGUCUGGGAAACUGCCUGAUGGAGGGGGAUAACUACUGGAAACGGUAGCUAAUACCGCAUAAUGUCGCAAGACCAAAGAGGGGGACCUUCGGGCCUCUUGCCAUCGGAUGUGCCCAGAUGGGAUUAGCUUGUUGGUGGGGUAACGGCUCACCAAGGCGACGAUCCCUAGCUGGUCUGAGAGGAUGACCAGCCACACUGGAACUGAGACACGGUCCAGACUCCUACGGGAGGCAGCAGUGGGGAAUAUUGCACAAUGGGCGCAAGCCUGAUGCAGCCAUGCCGCGUGUAUGAAGAAGGCCUUCGGGUUGUAAAGUACUUUCAGCGGGGAGGAAGGGAGUAAAGUUAAUACCUUUGCUCAUUGACGUUACCCGCAGAAGAAGCACCGGCUAACUCCGUGCCAGCAGCCGCGGUAAUACGGAGGGUGCAAGCGUUAAUCGGAAUUACUGGGCGUAAAGCGCACGCAGGCGGUUUGUUAAGUCAGAUGUGAAAUCCCCGGGCUCAACCUGGGAACUGCAUCUGAUACUGGCAAGCUUGAGUCUCGUAGAGGGGGGUAGAAUUCCAGGUGUAGCGGUGAAAU
rnacentral:rRNA from 1 species